rnacentral:rRNA from 1 species
CACGUAGGCACCAAGCGUUGUCCGGAUUUAUUGGGCGUAAAGAGCUCGUAGGCGGUUCGGUAAGUCGGGUGUGAAAACUCUGGGCUCAACCCAGAGCCGCCACCCGAUACUGCUGUGACUCGAGUGCGGUAGGGGAGCGGGGAAUUCCUGGUGUAGCGGUGAAAUGCGCAGAUAUCAGGAGGAACACCAGUGGCGAAGGCGGCUCACUGGCCCGGUACUGACGCUGAGGUGCGAAAGCGUGGGGAGCAAACAGG